rnacentral:rRNA from 1 species
CGGACGGGUGAGUAACACGUGGAUAACCUACCUAUAAUACUGGGAUAACUUCGGGAAACCGGAGCUAAUACCGGAUAAUAUAUUGAACCGCAUGGUUCAAUAGUGAAAGACGGUUUUGCUGUCACUUAUAGAUGGAUCCGCGCCGCAUUAGCUAGUUGGUAAGGUAACGGCUUACCAAGGCAACGAUGCGUAGCCGACCUGAGAGGGUGAUCGGCCACACUGGAACUGAGACACGGUCCAG